GUUGUCCCUCAAGUUUCUUGCCUUUUCUUCAUAUAUUGUCUUCUUCUUCAGCAGAAAAUUGUUAUAUACUUGAGCUUUGCCAGGUAA